UACGGGGGGGGCAAGCGUUGUUCGGAAUUACUGGGCGUAAAGGGCUUGUAGGUGGCCAACUAAGUCAGACGUGAAGUCCCUCGGCUUAACCGGGGAACUGCGUCUGAUACUGGAUGGCUUGAGUGUGGGAGAGGGAUGCGGAAUUCCAGGUGUAGCGGUGAAAUGCGUAGAUAUCUGGAGGAACACCGGUGGCGAAGGCGGCAUCCUGGACCGACACUGACACUGAGGAGCGAAAGCCAGGGGAGCAAACGGG
rnacentral:rRNA from 1 species